GUUUCCGUAGGCGGCCUGCGGAGGGAUCAUUGCUGGAACGCGCCCCAGGCGCACCCAGAAACCCUUUGUGAACUUAUACCUUACUGUUGCCUCGGCGCAUGCCGGCCCCCCUGGGGGCCCCUCCUUCUGGAGGAGCAGGCACGCCGGCGGCCAACCUAACUCUUGUUUUUACACUGAAACUCUGAGCACAAAACAUAAAUGAAUCAAAACUUUCAACAACGGAUCUCUUGGUUCUGGCAUCGAUGAAGAACGCAGCGAAAUGCGAUAAGUAAUGUGAAUUGCAGAAUUCAGUGAAUCAUCGAAUCUUUGAACGCACAUUGCGCCCUCUGGUAUUCCGGAGGGCAUGCCUGUUCGAGCGUCAUUUCAACCCUCAAGCCUGGCUUGGUGAUGGGGCACUGCCUGUAAAAGGGCAGGCCUUGAAAUUCAGUGGCGAGCUCGCCAGGACCCCGAGCGCAGUAGUUAAACCCUCGCUUUGGAAGGCCCUGGCGGUGCCCUGCCGUUAAACCCCCAACUUCUGAAAAUUUGACCUCGGAUCAGGUAGGAAUACCCGCUGAACUUAAGCAUAUCAA
rnacentral:rRNA from 1 species